rnacentral:misc_RNA from 1 species
UUGCGUCGAAGUCUCCGAAGAUUUGUUGCGGUUUGGUGUGUCUUUUAUUUUUACGUGGAACUCAUAUCGAUCCGAUAUGCCGCGUCCGAAAAUGGAUUUUGCGACUAAUAAGUGGCGAGGCACCACGCGAGCAAGAAUGAACAACCCUGGAGGUUAUGGGCACUGCUCAAUUGGCUCAUUCCUCGGUGCUUCUCGAAGGCCUGGUCAAGGAGGAGUUGCUCAGUGAACUACUAGUUUGAGUUCCCUGAGACGGACAUCACCUACAGUGCCGAGGUACAGGCUUAAUGGCAGAUAUCAAUAGGAGAUGAUGGUGCUGCCACGGACUUUGGCUCGUGGGGGUGCCGUCGCUACUGACAAAGCCUGUGCUCCCCGUCGUCCCUGUUGAAAUGGUGGCUGGAACUUGGAGAGGGUUUGCUGCCACAGCCGGUCAGUUCAAGUUCCGCACAUUCUGCCGUAGCCCUUGGGAAUUCGUUCCUUCCAUGUUGAGGUUCUAGUAGGAGAAGUCCACCGCUGUUGAGCUGCAUGUCACCACAGCAGUCAAUCUGCAGAGGGGCAUGGCCACGUGACCACACUUCUGAAAUGUUAGAGCCUUGUUGUGGACAUGGAGGCCGGUGUGAGAGAUUUAAUAUGCG